GAUAGCAUUUUGGGCUAGAGCCAUGCCCCUGCCUGGCUGGAGCCAUGCUCCCCAUCUGUCUAUGUCCACAGUAGUAGCAGUCAGGGGGUGUAGCCCCAGCCCAAAAUGCCGCAGCACACCUGGAUGUGCCUGAUGGCACACUAGUGUGCCACAGCACACCAGUUGGGAAAUGCUGACCUAGAUAGUGAAAAAAAGCCA